CUCAAUUACCAUGACAUAGUCGUACGGUGAAUGUUGUGUAUUGGACCAAUGUUAACUGUAAGACUGUGUCUCGGUGGUUGUC
rnacentral:pre_miRNA from 1 species